rnacentral:lncRNA from 1 species
AGAACUCUCUGACUUUCCAGAAGGCGAUGCCUCUUGCUCUCUUGGGAAUCGUUAUAAGAAAGUAACGAAGAGCUCCCUACAAAUGUCAAAGAGAAAUGCUCUUUCAAGAAUGCAAUGAACAAAUUAGAGCGUGUG